rnacentral:rRNA from 1 species
GAUGAACGCUGGCGGCGUGCCUAAUACAUGCAAGUCGAGCGAACAGAUAAGGAGCUUGCUCCUUUGACGUUAGCGGCGGACGGGUGAGUAACACGUGGGUAACCUACCUAUAAGACUGGAAUAACUCCGGGAAACCGGGGCUAAUGCAGGAUAACAUGUUGAACCGCAUGGUUCUACAGUGAAAGGCGGCUUUGCUGUCACUUAUAGAUGGACCCGCGCCGUAUUAGCUAGUUGGUGAGGUAACGGCUCACCAAGGCAACGAUACGUAGCCGACCUGAGAGGGUGAUCGGCCACACUGGAACUGAGACACGGUCCAGACUCCUACGGGAGGCAGCAGUAGGGAAUCUUCCGCAAUGGGCGAAAGCCUGACGGAGCAACGCCGCGUGAGUGAUGAAGGUCUUCGGAUCGUAAAACUCUGUUAUUAGGGAAGAACAAAUGCGUAAGUAACUGUGCGCGUCUUGACGGUACCUAACCAGAAAGCCACGGCUAACUACGUG